AUUGAACGCUGGCGGCAUGCCUUACACAUGCAAGUCGAACGGUAACAGGUUAAGCUGACGAGUGGCGAACGGGUGAGUAAUGUAUCGGAACGUGCCCAGUCGUGGGGGAUAACUGCUCGAAAGAGCAGCUAAUACCGCAUACGACCUGAGGGUGAAAGCGGGGGAUCGCAAGACCUCGCGCGAUUGGAGCGGCCGAUAUCAGAUUAGGUAGUUGGUGAGGUAAAGGCUCACCAAGCCGACGAUCUGUAGCUGGUCUGAGAGGACGACCAGCCACACUGGGACUGAGACACGGCCCAGACUCCUACGGGAGGCAGCAGUGGGGAAUUUUGGACAAUGGGCGCAAGCCUGAUCCAGCCAUGCCGCGUGCGGGAAGAAGGCCUUCGGGUUGUAAACCGCUUUUGUCAGGGAAGAAAAGGUUCUGGCUAAUACCUGGGAGUCAUGGCGGUACCUGAAGAAUAAGCACCGGCUAACUACGUG
rnacentral:rRNA from 1 species